GACGAACGCUGGCGGCGUGCCUAAUACAUGCAGGUCGAACGAAUCAAUGGGAGCUUGCUCCCUGAGAUUAGCGGCGGACGGGUGAGUAACACGUGGGUAACCUGCCUGUAAGACUGGGAUAACUUCGGGAAACCGGAGCUAAUACCGGAUAAUUUCUUUUCUCGCAUGAGGAGAGAUGGAAAGAUGGUUCUGCUAUCACUUACAGAUGGACCCGCGGCGCAUUAGCUAGUUGAUGAGGUAACGGCUCACCAAGGCGACGAUGCGUAGCCGACCUGAGAGGGUGAUCGGCCACACUGGGACUGAGACACGGCCCAGACUCCUACGGGAGGCAGCAGUAGGGAAUCUUCCGCAAUGGACGAAAGUCUGACGGAGCAACGCCGCGUGAGCGAAGAAGGCCUUCGGGUCGUAAAGCUCUGUUGUUAGGGAAGAACAAGUACGAGAGUAACUGCUCGUACCUUGACGAUACCUAACCAGAAAGCCACGGCUAACUACGUGCCAGCCGCCGCAGUAAUAC
rnacentral:rRNA from 1 species